rnacentral:rRNA from 1 species
CCUAGUAAGCACAAGUCAUCAGCUUGUGCUGAUUACGUCCCUGCCCUUUGUACACACCGCCCGUCGCUACUACCGAUUGAAUGGCUUAGUGAGACCUUUGGAUCGUUAGUUCAGAACUGUAAAAGGUUUUUUUCUGAUGAGAAGUUGGUCAAACUUGGUCAUUUAGAGGAAGUAAAAGUCGUAACAAGGUUUCCGUAGGUGAACCUGCGGAAGGAUCAUUAUUAUUUGGCUUGGGUUUACUUUUCAAGAAUUUGGUCCUUAGUUUUUUUUAAAAAGUAAAUCUGUACCAAAUAAACAGUUUAAAUCGAACCUGUUUAUUACUCGCCCUUUUAUAGGGAGGAGCAAGAUGAACUUUAUUUAAAACCACCCACUCUUAUAAAUGUAUCAUAUAUAAUAUAAAUUAAUAAAAAGAUCACUUUCAACAACGGAUCUCUUGGUUCUCGCAUCGAUGAAGAACGUAGCGAAGUGCGAUAUGUAGUGUGAAUUGCAGAAUUCCGUGAAUCAUCGAAUUUUUGAACGCAAAUUGCACUCUCCGGUUUUCCAGGAGAGUAUGCCUGUUUGAGGGUCAGCCUAAAAAAAUCGACAUUGUUGCUGUUGAGGUGACUUUCGUCGGAGGUUGGGUCAUCUUAAACCUUUUGGUUUAAGCGACUUAAAAAUUUUUUUUACGAUUCCAAGAACGUUUCUAAGAUUUUCUUACAUGUUCAAGGUGUCGAAUGUCAUAUUAGACGUAGCCGUCGUAUCGGAUCGCGUCCAUAAUUUUUUUCGUUAACUGACCUCAGACAGGUAAGAAUACCCGCUGAACUUAAGCAUAUCAAUAAGCGGAGGAAAAGAAAAUAACAAUGAUUCCCUUAGUAACGGCGAGUGAAGGGGGAAAAGCUCAAAUUUUAAAUCGGCGCAGGUUCACCUGGUCGAGUUGUAAUUUGAAGAGGCGUUUUCCGCGUCCGGGUCGACCCAAAUCCUUUGGGAUAGGGUAUCAUGGAGGGUGAGAAUCCCGUCCGGUUGAUCUCAGGAUGUUUUACGAUGCGCUUUCUAAGAGUCGAGUUGUUUGGGAUUGCAGCUCAAAAUGGGAGGUAAAUUUCUCCUAAGGCUAAAUACAGGCGAGAGACCGAUAGCGAACAAGUACCGUGAGGGAAAGAUGAAAAGAACUUUGAAAAGAGAGUUAAACAGUACGUGAAAUUGUUGAAAGGGAAACGAUUGAAGCCAGUCUUACCAACGGAAAAUCAACUUCUUGAGUGUUUGUCGUGGGUGAUGUUGAGCUUCGGCCUUCGUUGCUUGCGUUAUGGUGCUUUUGGGGUGUACUUUUUCGUGGUAGGUCAAUAUCGAUUUUGAUCGUCAUAAAAUGAUCGGAGGAAUGUGGCUUCGAUCUCGUAUCGGAGUGUUAUAGCCUUUGGUAGAUGUGACGAUUGGGAUCGAGGAUUGCAACGAAUACCCUUUGGGCUAUCCGUCUGACCUCUGAAAGUCGCUCGGGUGUUGAAAGCUUGCUUAUGACAUUCUAGUUGGCGGUCAAAAGGUUAGAAUGCGAUUAUAUUCGUUAAGGAUGUUGACGUAAUGGCUUUAAACGACCCGUCUUGAACACGGACCAAGGAG